rfam:Neptuniibacter sp. Phe_28 scaffold_1, whole genome shotgun sequence.
GGGGAUGACUUGGCUUCGACGCUGAUUACAAAACCUUAGGUGCAUGUCGAGAAUGUAGUGAUUCUCGUAAAUCCCUCACUACACAGUUAUAGUUGCAAACGACGAUAACUACGCUCUAGCCGCAUAAGUCGGCUUGUGCCGCUCCUUCAGGUGUCUGUAACUAGAGGAUUUUGCGGUAUCAUUCGAGACAGAAUCGCCCGGACGCUUUGCCUCAAGCUGAACGGUUAAAACUAAAGAGGCUCGCCCAUAACACCCUGGCUCUCGGGUCGUGACGGGUUAAUUAAAUAGAGAAGCCUAAACAUGUAGAUCUUGAGGCGGAGGAUUGACGGACGCGGGUUCGACCCCCGCCAUCUCCACCA